GUCAGGCUGGAGGCGGGGCCACGGCGGCCCGGGCGGGAGCUGUCUCCUGCAGAGCUAGUGCUCGCGCUGGUCCAACCCACAGUGUGGGUUGGAGUCUUCCACCCCGCUGGCAACCUGCAGACACGAGCUAGAGGCAGGCCUGUGUGUGCCAGUGGUUGAAAGGGGUGGAGAAAAAGGAAUUGCUUUCCUUCAGGACGCCACUCCCCUUGGAGGGAAGCUGGUUUGGGCACUUGAACCAGGGCUGCAUGUGCACUAGGACUCUGCUCCCCUGAGACCAGACAAGUUCCCUAAGGCAAAACUGCCUUAGAGGGCUUCCCUGGUGGCUCAGUGGUUGAGUGUCCGCCUGCCGAUGCAGGGGACACGGGUUCGUGCCCUGGUCCGGGAGGAUCCCACAUGCCGCGGAGCGGCGGGGCC